rnacentral:tRNA from 1 species
GCCCCAGUAGCUCAGUGGAUAGAGCAACAGCCUUCUAAUCUGUCGUGCGCAGGUUCGAGUCCUGCCUGGGGCG